CGUCAUUAUCACAUGGUAGACACGUGAAUGAUCGGAUUGCAGCAGAACAAUAUGUCUGUUAGAGUGUUUUCAUACUAUAAAAGCGAUGUAGUACACAUGAUACAUUCAUUUCAAAAUUUAACUACAGGAAAAAAUAUCUUAACUAAAAACAACUUGGAUUAAUAGGGAAAAAAACAUGAAGAUGUUUACAUUUACAACAUUUGGACUACUUCUGUUUGUGAUAUCGGGUGUAUUGACCUAUCCAUCCAUCCAGAUUCGAGAAAGUUACCACAAACAAACGAAAGCUUUACGUGUCGGCUGGUGCCAAUUUAGCGAGGAGGAACAUACUAACUGUUACGUGUGUGCAAGACUUUAUACAAGUUACUCACUUUAUAAAGAUUGUUGUGAACGAAGACCGACAUCCAUGGUAGAAAUAUGCCAAGCUCAACUUCCGAGUUGGAACAAUUUAUAAUGAUCUCCGGUAGAGUGCUGAAUAUUCCGGCAAUCUCUGUUCCUUUAAAGAAAAGAAAAAACAGAAUGAUGAUAGCAAAAGAAUAGUGAACAAAAUGUACCAAUACUGCGUGAUUUUUGAUUCUCAGUACGUUAGUUACACCUUUAAGUGUUCAUUGCUUUAUUCAAGCAGAGUUAAUUAAAUACUGUGUUCACCGAGAAUUAAAGGAUCAAGCUUUGGAAUUAUUAAUAUUGUUAAAGAGAAAUAUUACAUAAAACGCUGAGGGAAAAAUGAAAUAAAACAAAACUAACAUAAAACAUCCACGUGUUCUAUGGUACUCUAGGUUACAUAUUUAUGUGUUCCUGUCUUCAAGACAUAUAAGUUUUGUAUUAAAAGAAUUUAUCAAUAUUUAUUGUUUUAAGUGCCAUAUAUCCGAUCUUUUUAACAUAUUGUGACACGCUAACGUUAGCAUAAACCAUAUGUAUGAAUAAUCAUGUUUAUUUUCAAUAAAACACGGCAACAAUUA